GGUGAUUUAUAUGGACUCUGACCAUGACCUAAACUCUAAAAUUUGCUUUAUACGCAUCAGAUUUCAAUAAUUGAGCAUACAGUGGGGACUCCAUCCAUCUCCCAGACACUAAAAUGUUAUAAGCAUCAACAAGUAAAUUAUUAUUUUUUAAUUCAUGUUGUUUCCAGUUGCAAAACAUUUCCUUAGAGAACCACAAGUUUGGAGUAUUUUAUAGUAUCAUUUCAGUAAAUGGCAUAGUUGUUUUUCUUACUACUUGAUAACAGUCAGCAAAUAGAGACCGGGAGGCAGGAAGACGAUGUAUUUUCUUGCUACUGGGCUGAGCAAAUAGAUACCAUGCUUUUGAAAUGCUGGAAGAGGUCAGAUCUUUGCUUUCCAAACCCGCUCGCAUGCCACUCCGCACAGAGCAGAUUUCUUUGUUUAAAAUGCUUUUGAUUUUGGCACAAUAGGCUCAUGUUGCAUGUAGCUCUGUAACAUUUUUGGAGGGAUACUUAAAGUUACUCGGGGCUUGUUCUAGGAUACAUUUUAACGCUUCACAGCAUCUUUUUAUUUAUUAAAUUUUUUAAAAUUUGAAUAACAGAUAUAAACCUUAAAAUAUUUUCCAGGUUUUUUUUCUUCCUGUACAUUUUCUUCGUGCUUUGAGGAAGCUGGCUCUGCAUAGUAACUUAGAAAUAACUCCUAAUGAUUAACAGAGUGAUGGAUGUGACAGAUCACCUUUUUCUUGAGAAAUAAUAAAUCAACAUAACCCUGCCCAUAAAUUUUUACUGAAAAAUGUGAAAUAUUAGCACCAUAUAUUUAACUAGGUGUCAGAUACAAACACUGUUGUCAAAGUGUUGCUCUCAGAACCAGUGGGCCACACUACAAUGGAACUUUCCUUUGUUUCUUUGGAGAAUAAUAUGAUUCAAAUACAAUUUUCAAUUCCUGAAACACCCUGUUUUUUACUUAUGUGUCCUUCUUGUGGUAAGCAAGGCACACAGUCUGAAAAUUCCCAAUAGUAGACCCCAAAGUCAAGAUAGAACAAUCUCUCAGAGAGAAUUAUUUACUCACAAAAAUUUAAGUUGAACUUGAAUUUUAGGAUGACUCACUACAGUGUUUCAUGAGGUAUGUUUGCCUAAUUCUGUCCUGGCUCUGUUAGUACAGCGUCAUUUUUUUUCCCUCCCUGCCCUUGUGGUGAUGUCAUUUUUUUAGGUGCACCGUAUUAAAAUCUGUUCAGAGUUUUGGGAAGCUCGGUUGGACACAACAUGUGACUGAAUUAAGAGGCUCGUGGCUACCCAGCCCUGGCUUUAUUUUCAUUUGGGAGUGUUUUCCUCAAGUCGCCAUGGUGUAUUGUGGGAAGUGGAGCAGGGCAGUGGCCUUCCCCUGGCUCUAUUGAUCUGCCCUUCAGCUGUGUGCAGCGCAGAGAACCUCAGGCCUUGUUGUUGAUUAUCUACACGGUGUCUCUGGGAGCUGUAUUGACCCAUUGCCGCCGACUGCCUGUAGCUCUUGAUUUUUCACACCGUCUCCAUGACACUCAUAAUAAAACAUACCAUCUUAUUGCUUCUCAGCUCUGGGAGUCAGUGCAGUCAGCCUUCACACACCACAAUGUUGCAGGAGAACAUUUAUUAUAUGUGGGAUAAAGUGGAGCAAUUUUAGGGCUCUGUGUUGUGUACUUUUGGUAGCUACCUCUAUAGCAAGAGCCCAUACAGAGUUUACAUUUCUGAUGCCUUUAAAAAGCCAAUGCUAGCUUCAUAUCUGUUUUUAAGAUGAAAAUUUGAAUAAUAAAUACAAAAUUAAUUGUGAAACAAUAGGCAUAUUAACCAAGUAUAUCUUGCAAAAAGAGAUUAACUUAGACACUCUGCAUUUCCAAGUACAUACAAGGAUUGUUCUAUGAUUUAUUACUGCCUUACAUGUUUAUUACAGUGGAUAGUAUGAUUAUGAGAAAUUAUGCAUGUUUUAAGGUUAUCCUUGCCUGAUGUCCUAGAUACUUCAGUGUUUUGAGUAAAAUCUUUCUUAGCUAUCUUGAAAGAUUUACUUUCUAUUUAAGAUAUAAAUGGUUUUCUUUGAACAUAGAUUUUUUCAGUAUUAGUGCUUUUAUCUUGUACUAAUAUCAGAAUAUUUUAGAUUUUGUUAUUACCUACAUGUUUUGCAAUCCAGAAUUAUCAUCAACAGUUCCUUUGUGCCACAUAUGUUGAAUAUUAUUAUAAACAGAGCUGAGAGACCUGGGAAGGCAGGGUUUAUUUUUCUAGUAGAGAGAAUAACAUGCAGGUGUUUCCAAGACAGCCUUCUACUAUUGUAAUACACUGUAGCUACUUUAUUGUAUGCAAGAUAAUGUAGCACCAGAGAGAGAGAGAAACAGAGAGAGAGAGAGGGAGAGAGAGAGAGAGAGAGAUUGAAUUCUAAUCUUAGCCUAGAGAUUUUUGUAGGAGAGUGAAAGGAAGAGAAUUACAGGUGGGAUUAUUAAUAUAAUUGCUCUUUGCUGAAGUUAAUUUGAGUGUUUCUAUUAGAGAAGAUGAAAAACAAUUUAACAAACCUCAUUUUAAUAAAGUCAGCCUUUGCGAACUAUAAUGGAACUCCUAUCUGCCUGUUACACACAUUCACCUUUGUGAAGUAUCUAUAAGCUUCACCAGGGAGAGAAGAAGAGAGGGAAGGCACCCUGGCCGUUAAGCUUCCUGUCAUUGAUCCACAGUUAAUUUUUCACAGUUUGAAAUAAUUAUUUCUUUUUGGGUGGGGUUAUAGAUUUAGCAUUUAUAUUCUGCUGGUUUUGGUUAGGGUUGGUUUUAGGUUUGAAAGAUACAUAGUUGUCUAGCUGCUUUUAAAAAUAUCAAUCCAUUGUAAACUAAGAACUCUGAAGUGGAAGCUUUCAGCUAGUGCUGUUUUAAGAACUGUCAUGGUGUAGUGUAGCCUCCCAGGAACCCAGAUAUGUCCACUUAAAGCAGGUGGGCCAUGGGUUCAAGGCCAGCUUAGGCUACAGAGAGAGUUCAAGGCCAGACUGAGCUAUAUGAGGAAGACCCUGUUUCAGAAAACCAAGAAAAUAAGCAAGCCAAACAAAACCUACAACUGAAAAAAAUCAGAGUAAAAGCAUUAUUACCCCUUCUCCCAAAUUAGCAUCUUUCUUUCAUUCCUUUAAAUUAAAAAAUGAAGUCUCUCCAGUGUUUUUUAAUUAUAAUUGUUUAGUUUUUUUCCAAAUAUUUUAUUAGUGUGUAUUCAUUGAGUGAGGUGCUGACACACAAUUUCACCAGUAACGUGGUGAUGGUAAGUGCCAUAAGCCUCUUGCUUCUCGCAGAGACCUGUUCAAUUCUAGGCUCCAUGACCUCUGGCAAAUAUGACAGGGCACGUUUCACCCACUGUCGUGAACACACUGCCCAGCAGUGGCUGACUCACACCUGCAUGGACACAGCUGGGCUGUCUGACUGAGCAUCCGGCUCACAGGAGCCGCAUUUACAGUUACUCUGAGGUUGUCAUGUAGAUGGUGUUUGUUGGAUAAGGUUCACAUUCCACUUAAGCCUAAGUACGCCCCUUUGUCUCAGACCUCAGGAACCACUCUUAAGUGUACAGGAGACUUCCUCUAACAGAGCCUUCAGCAUCAGGUAUUGCAAAGGUUAAGCCUUAUCAUCGGCACC
rnacentral:lncRNA from 1 species